rnacentral:rRNA from 1 species
UACAGAGGGGGCAAGCGUUAUUCGGAAUUAUUGGGCGUAAAGCGCGUGUAGGCGGCUUUGCAAGUCGGGUGUGAAAGCCCUCAGCUCAACUGAGGAAGUGCGCCCGAAACUGCAGAGCUUGAGUACCGGAGAGGAUGGCGGAAUUCCCCAAGUAGAGGUGAAAUUCGUAGAUAUGGGGAGGAACACCGGUGGCGAAGGCGGCCAUCUGGACGGAUACUGACGCUGAGACGCGAAAGCGUGGGGAGCAAACAGG